UGAUUCCCCUAACCUCAUCUCAACAGAGGCCUUGCUGCCCAGAAGCCCAGGAAACAGCAUGCAGCUCAACUCUUGCCUCUGCCUCAGCUUGCUGGGUAACAUUGGACAGAGAUUGGACAGUGACCGGAGAGACAAGGGACCCCAGCCCAGCCCUGUGACCCAGGAAUGUGGCUGUCUCCCCUGGCGCCUGAGGGAUCUGGGAGCUGUGGACUCUGAAGGUGGGGGAGGAACCAAGACCCAGAAGCCAGCUCAUCCUUGGACUUGGAAGGGCAGGAUGACACAAAUGGGAAGUGAGGGUGUCUUCUCCAGCCUGGGGGGCAUGGCAGGAUGUGGCCACUAAACCCUGGUCUCCAAAGUGGGACAUGAGCAAGAUAAGUCAAUGGCAUGUGCAAAGAAACACGACCCCUGGGCUUCUAUUUUUUAUCUCAUCAUCUUUAAAUUUCAACUUUUAUGGAUACAUAAUAUAUAAGCCCAGUAAUAAAGUGCCUAUGGUUUAUAAAUAAAUAAAUAUACAUGCUCUGAAACCUUUUCCUGAAACGGAAAAAACCUC